AAGGCUUUAAGUUAAUUAAACUAAUAGCCUUCAAAGCUAUAAAUAAAGGCAGGAAUUCUUUAAGCCUUA
rnacentral:tRNA from 1 species